rnacentral:rRNA from 1 species
UGCCAGCCGCCGCGGUAAUACGAAGGGACCUAGCGUAGUUCGGAAUUACUGGGCUUAAAGAGUUCGUAGGUGGUUGAAAAAGUUAGUGGUGAAAUCCCAGAGCUUAACUCUGGAACUGCCAUUAAAACUGUUAGUCUUGAGAUCGAGAGAGGUGAGUGGAAUUCCAAGUGUAGAGGUGAAAUUCGUAGAUAUUUGGAGGAACACCAGUGGCGAAGGCGGCUCACUGGCUCGAUACUGACGCUGGAGAACGCUAGUGUGCGGCGUAAUAACGCUGCUGCU